rnacentral:lncRNA from 12 species
UGUCUACCCUAAAUUUGUUCUCAUUCAUAUAAUAUGAUCUAAAAAUAUGUUAUUUGUGUUGUCUUACUCCAGGUGUAAAAUAAACAUCAUCUGCUGAAAUCCAGAACGCUUCGUUAAAUUCUUUGGGUUUUUCUCAGGAAGAUCAGGAACGGUUGGAGAAAUUUUGAUAAGGAUGCGGGACGCAGCUCUCUGUUGGACCCGAACGCAGUGGAUGGACUGAUUGUGCAAGAGAAGCGGAAGAAGGGAGCUUUUCCUUGCAAGACCUGGAUCCUAACACAAACGUGUGUGUGCGCGCACAGGGAGCCUCGGGGAAUGCAAUAAGCCAGUGUCAGACCCACGGGGCUUGGUGUGCUCUGACAUACAUAAAUCAUAAUAAAACAGCCGUGCCUCCCCCACCC